GACAGAGGGUGCAAACGUUGUUCGGAAUUACUGGGCGUAAAGCGCGUGUAGGCGGCCAUCUAAGUCGGGCGUGAAAUCCCACGGCUCAACCGUGGAAGUGCACUCGAAACUGGAUGGCUAGAGUCCUGGAGAGGAAGGUGGAAUGCUUGGUGUAGAGGUGAAAUUCGUAGAUAUCAAGCGGAACACCGGUGGCGAAGGCGGCUCACUGGGUCUCAACUGACGCUGAGGUACGAAAGCCAGGGUAGCGAACGGG
rnacentral:rRNA from 1 species